rnacentral:rRNA from 1 species
UACUGAAGCUUCUCGCCGUCGUUGACCUAGUACUGAACCCCGCUCCUUAGGUACCACCAGUAAGAGCAGGUGGUGCUGCCGAGAGGGGAAGCGAGCCGGUAACGUAGCCGUUGAGGGGUCGCGAAUAGAUGCCGCGGCCAGCGGAGGUGGUGGUGUCGCGGGGAGGGGCGCGAGGGUGGUGCGGCGGUGUGUCUAGGUUGAGGGGUAGCGACAGCGGGGACAGUUAGGGGUAGCUAGAGCUAGACCUUUUUUUAACACUCCAUACGCCGCCUAGGACAGCUAGAACACACGUAAGCCCCCGGCCCCUCGCUCCUGCCCGUGGCGCCUCGUUCCCUACCUCCGCGCCGCCGCCUCCCUGGCAGCAAGAGCGUCUCGUCCCCCACCCCGCGUCGCCGCCUCCUUGGGAGCAAGAGGACCCGGCUACUGGCAGUGGCGGUCGGUGAGCAAGCGAGGAGGAGGAGGAGGAGGUUCGCCGCUAGCUCAAACUACUAAGGUCCACGCCCGUAGUCCUAGAGACGAUAACCUAGGUCCAAGCCCUCUAAUUUCCAGGCGAGCAAGCUAGGACAGCAGCCGGUAUGAGGUUCGCCGGACCCGUAGCUCGAGCCGAAGCUGUGGGCGUGGUAGGUCUCAAGUCAAGCACAAAAGAGGGCAUUGGGAUUACCGUUAGUACAUUGGUCUAUGUAAUAACGCUUCUGUAGUCGUGGUGUGUGUGGGGGUAGUUUAGGCAGGUUCGAGUAGGACAGAGGAGAGUCUAGAGCCACCGACGAGGUAAGAGCCACGGACUAAUUCGUGUUCUAUUACUUCAUGUAGAGAUUGAAUUUACAGUCUCAAACCGAUCAAUGACAAAGACUUUAAAUACAAAUAUACCUCGUGCUUAGAAUACGAAGGUACGUACUGGUUGGUGUCUGAUCGCACGUUGAGGAGUGGCAGGCAGAGUAGUGGCGUUACUCGUCGGGAACAAAUCAGCCGUCUGAGGAUUAACAUCUCGAAGUCUACCAUCGUACACGCCGUCGACUGUGCCUCUUCUUUUUUAGUCAAUUUGCCUCAUCACGUGGCUAAACCUUGCCGCGUCGGCUCCGCGGGUAGUCGCGGACGCUGCGGGACGUGGGCUCGAGGCGGCGCUCGCGGCUAGGAUGGGACGAGCAUGCAAACGUUUUUGUUCGUGGCAGUCUGGCUUCCCUAUCCCCGCCUCAACGUCGACGUCCUGAAUGGCAGCGCCUCUCGGAGUGUCGCCUCCUCUCCUUCCCCAAAGGCUUAGGAAGUUACCGCUGCCGGCCCUUGACCCAAUCCAGGAGCGGCAUAGUUUGGGUGCCGAACGUUGUUGCUCUGCCAAACUCAGCCGCCAUGGCUUGGUCGCUCUAAGACCGAACCCGCUUGCUGCCCCACCUCCUGCGUAUAAGACGAGCACGCUACGCGGCGUUGGCUAGUGGUACCGUCGUCAAUCCCUACUUGUCGUUGCCUUGUUGUGCUGUCUACCUCCAAGUCACGACCAGAAAAUUUGGUUCUACGCUGCUCUUUAACUUCGGAUUUCACCCCUCCUGUAAACUUCCCGAACUCUGGCACCUCCUCAAUAUGUUCAGUAUAUCUGUAGUACACACAAAACCUCGAGCACAACCUGUCGUCUUUUUCAACUUGUUACACCACAGUUGUUGUGGAAGUGUUAGUGAAGAACAAACAUUCGAAGGUCCAGGCCUUCGAACGUCGUUGUCGUUGUACAAGAACAAACACUUAUACGCUUUCUUUUCAUCAUUGUACCAGUGUUCCUUACGUCUUCGUCGUCAUAUGUUCCCCAACGAAUCAACACGAGAGACGGUUGUCCAAACAACAUUCGUCCUGCGGCAUCACUACCACACAUCCAACGCAGGCCGCCGCCUGAGCCGCAGUCCCUGGCCGUUCUACUGCCCACCCGCGCCUCCAUCCGGUUUGUACCACCUAGAGCGGCGCCCGCAGUUUUCCUAGUGGCCCCGGUACCUCAGCAAACUCCGCCUUCUGGCGUCUCCGACCGGUUCGGUCUGUUCGCGCAGGUGGCAAGUUCCCUAUUGGCCUGGUACCUAGGCAAACUCCGUCUGCUCGCGUCACCAUCCGGUUCGCGCCGACGGUAGCUUCCUAAGUGGUCCCGCGGCGGUACCUCGCUAACCUCCUCUCCUAGGUCUAAUU